rnacentral:ncRNA from 1 species
ACCUACUUGAUCAAAAGAGUGGGAAAACCCCGGAAUCACGUAGACCCACUUGGGACCGAGUAUUGCAAUUAUUGGUCGCGCAACGAGGAAUGUCUCGUAGGCGCAGCUCAUCAAACUGUGCCGAUUACGUCCCUGCCAUUUGUACACACCGCCCGUCGUUGUUUCCGAUGAUGGUGCAAUACAGGUGAUCGGACAGUCGAGUGCUUCACUUGACCGAAAGUUCACCGAUAUUUCUUCAAUAGAGGAAGCAAAAGUCGUAACAAGGUAGCUGUAGGUGAACCUGCAGCUGGAUCAUUU